GCCCUGCUGGCGCAAUGGUAGCGCGCAAGACUUCUAAUCUGAGAUCUUGAGGCUGUGGGUUCGAGCCCCACGUGGGGCU
rnacentral:tRNA from 1 species